rnacentral:rRNA from 1 species
CUUAGUGGCGCACGGGUGCGUAACGCGUAUGCAACCUACCUUUUCCAGGGGGAUAGCCUUCCGAAAGGGAGAUUAACACCGCAUAACACCCUAGACCGGCCUCGGUUCAGGGUAAAAUCUACGGAGGGAAAAGAUGGGCAUGCGUCCGAUUAGCUAGUUGGCGGGGUAGUGGCCCACCAAGGCCACGAUCGGUCGGGGACCUGAGAGGGCGAUCCCCCACACUGGCACUGAGAUACGGGCCAG